GGUUCUUUUCAUUGUGGAAGUUAUUCUGCUAUUCAGAUAGGUCCUAUCAGUGCUUGAUAAUGUACAAUUAGCUGUGCCGAUGUCUCUAACCUACUAGCACUCUACAGAGUGUAGUCUUAGGUAUUGCCUGUGCCAAUGCAAUUUUAUCGAAAAUGCUCAAUGACGACUUUCUCUGAUUUGCAGACAAGAUACAAAAGGUUUAGUAAAGGAGGACUCAAGUCUGCAACCACCAUAGAGAUAUGGCCAUGGAAGUAUGGAACAAUAGUGUGUGGAUGUUCUGUGCAAUUUUUCUCUCAUCGAGGUAUGCCUCCGUUUCACUGGGCCAGGCUCGACUUGCCAACUACAUACUCCUUCCAUAAAGAAAUAUAACAUCGUUUAGAUCACUAAAGUAGUGAUCUUUAGUGAUCUAAAGGCUCUUAUAUUUAUUUACAGAGGAAUUAUUUGUUUUCUUUGCUGCAAAGUAUUUUGAGAUGCGUAUGUUGAGAUGGAUGUGUGGCCACACGAGGAAGGAUAGAGUCCAGAAUGAUGAUAUACGAGAUAGAGUUGGGGUAGCACCGACUGAAAAGAAGCUUGUCCAACAUCGUCUGAGAUGGUUUGGGCAUAUUCAACGCAAGCCUCCAGAAGCCCCAGUGCAUAGCGGACGGCUAAAGCGUGCGGAGAAUGUCAAGAGAGGUCGGGGUAGACCGAAUUUGACAUGGGAGGAAUCCGUUAAGAGAGAUCUGAAGGAUUGGAGUAUCACCAAAGAACUAGCUAUGGACAGGGGUGCGUGGAAGCUUGCUAUCCAUGUGCCAGAGCCAUGAGUUGAUCGCGAGGCCUACCCCAACUUGUUUGGGAUUAAAGGCUUUGUUGUUGUUGUUUGCUGCAAAGUAUUUUGAGAUUAUAGUGUGUUGAGCAUGCAAUCCCGAUUCCAGGAAAAAAAUAUUAUGUAGUCCAUCGCACAUGCUCGGUUUCAGAGUAAAUCCAAAGCCAUUUGCUGCCUCUUGAAUUUUUGGUUCUACCUAAUGCACAAAAUCUCUCAUGGUUCUAUUUCUACCUGAUGUAGAAAAGCGACUAUUAUCUGUUGAUUGGCUUAUUGAUGUUUGGUACUGGUCAUAUUAGUUCCCUAGGGCCGUAAAAAACUACAUUUCUACUCUAUGAUUAUGUCUCAAAGAUGUUUUCUAGCUUGCAAGUUUGAUUUCUUUGUCUUCCACAUGGUCGGUUUAGUUUCUCACCUUGCUUAAAAAUUCAGGUUGAAAUGUUGCCAGUCCAGCCUAUGCUGAUGCUAUAAUGGGAUCAUGACAGAAAAUUAUUUAUUUUGUUAUAUACCUGCAGCUCACUUUGUUAAUUUCCACAACAGCAUUUUAUAUUUACAUUUAAAUUGUACUCCCUCUGUUCUUGAAAAGAAGGCAUAUCAAUUUUGGUCAAAGUCAAAUAAUGUAAAGUUUGACCAAGUUAAUCCAACAAACUUAUACAUUUUCUUUCCAGGGAGUACCUACUUAGUUUGAUUAUUGCAUCUACUUCUACUUCUACUUCAUUUCUGUACUCACAUUUAAAUUAGGCACCUACUUUAUUUCUACUACUUUUUUCCUGCACCUACAGUAUCAGUGUUGUAUCUGCUCGAUCAUGGAGCUAUGACUCUGUUACAUUGGGCUAAAGAUUGAUUGCUUGCACGGGUAUGUCAAGGUGUAGGUGCAGACUCAUUGCUGGUGUUGAAUACUGGAGCAAGAAUGAUGAUCAAUGCUCUAAUGAACCUGCAUGAUGUAGCAUUACUAUUGGGAUAUAUGGGUUAGGCACAUACUCUUUUUUGACAGUAGGUUAGACAAGUGUUUUUUUUUUUAGUUUUUCUCUGUCGAUUUCUCUUUUACUGUAAAGCAAAGGCUGAUUGUUAGUCUUUGUUGAGUCAAGAGAUUUUUUUACUUGGAAGAUCGCAACAUUGCCGAUAGAAGAAUGAGUUUUAUAGCAAAUCAGGUUUUGACUUCUAUACUAAUGGUUACAUCACCAUGAUGGUUGGAAUAUAAUUAAGACUUUGUUCGCACUUAAUACUGGAUGAUGAGAUCAUCUAUGAUAGUGAUGGGCGGUGCACUGUGAUUGUGAGUAUCAUAGAUCGCAUUAACACAUGCGUUUUUCCGCCAUGCUCACUAUCCAGUUAUGCCACACCCAAUUACUAUCAGCAGGGUAUAUUAACUAUAUGUAAUUGGUCGGCUAUACGACAGCAGUGUACCACUGUCCUGUGUUGGUGCUUAUCCAAUCAAACAUAGUUAUGUACUAAGUUCUUAUAUUAUGGGAUGAAGGGAGUAACUAACAUUACGUAACCA
rnacentral:lncRNA from 1 species